GUUUACGAAGAGCAGUUACCUUAGAAUGCACACAGGAGAAUGUAAUGAGCAGAGAUAUAUUCAGUCUUAUUAAAGUAUGUGUUAAUGUGAAAUAGACAUGUGCAAUUAGUUUCGAAUGUAAAUUCGGACAAUUUUAGCAAUUCGUACAUUCGGUAAUGUCCAAAUUACCGAAUUUUGGAAGUACCGAAUAGAUCCGAAUUGCCAAAGUGUCGAAUUACCGAAGUGCCGAACUGAAUUGUCGAAUUUCAGAAGUGCCGAAG